rnacentral:misc_RNA from 1 species
CAGAAACCUUCCAUGAAUGUUCCAUUCGCUUUAGUGAGUUGCAUGGCAUUUUAUUUUUAGAAAGGCACCUUUGUGAUUGUCAACUCAACUGCUCCAACGCAUGCUGCUGGAUGUUCCUCUUUUUUAUCCUUUCUCUUCUGCUAUAAUUUUAUUUUACCUUAUUUUCGCCUGCCUUCUUUUCCUUCCGACUUCAACUUGUCUUCCUGAGAAUCCAACGUCGG